UUUCUCAUCUCCCGCCGCGCGCAACGAUGGCCACCAUUGGCAUGUUCAACGAGGAGGGCGAGAAUGUUGACCUCUACAUCCCGCGCAAGUGCCACGCGACCAACACGCUGAUUGAGGCGCACGACCACGCCGCCGUGCAGAUCUCGAUCGCGAACGUUGGCCCGAACGGCGUGAUCAACGGCACGACGACGACGCUGUGCAUUGCUGGCUACCUGCGCUCGCAGGGCGAGUCGGACCACGCGAUCAACCACAUCACGAUCGACCGCGGCAUCAUGCGCAUCAAGACCGGCAAGCCGAAGCGUGCGUCCAAGUCGAAGUCGAAGAAGCCCGCCGCGAAGGGCGCCGCCGCUGGCGCUGCUGCCCAGAAGGGUGGCCGCCCGUCUGUUCAGAAGGGUGCGCGCCCGGCUUCGCAGAAGGGUGCCCGCCCGCCAACGCAGAAGGGUGCCCGCCCGCCUACGCAGAAGGGUGCCCGCCCGCCUGCGCAGAAGGGUGCCGCUCCGGCUCGCAAGAACCGCGCUUAAGGCAGUUCAAAGGGGGGAGAGCGCCGUAUAAAGAAGGCAAAGGCAAGCGGGAGCGCAUGCGACUUGGUGUGUGCCUGCGUAUGUGUCUGUGUACAGCUUGGUCUAGACCUACCGCAAGGGAAAGGGGGAGGGGCGAGGUGAGGACGCAGAGUCAUGAAAAGAAGAGGUAGUGACGCGGGGUGUCCGCCUGCGCGGCGCCCGUUUUCUCUCUGUGCACCUCCUACGUGACACACCUCACCCCCUGUGCUGGGCCGCGUUGCGCAUGGACCGUGGCCUUUGUGCGAUAUCUUCGUGCAGCGCACCGGUGGCAGCUUCGUCGCCUCCAUGACUGCACGACACUGCUAGACGAGCCGGCAGCCGACGCGGUGCGACGACACACACACACACACACACGCACAUGCUUACCGAACACCUUUGGUGCGUUGCUGAAAUCUGUGUUUUAUAAUUUUUCCUUUCUUCUCUCUUCGUGCUUCUCUCUCUGGCGCUCUCGCAAAGGCUUGCUUGCCCGCUUGCGUUGUCCUCUUCGCCUCUCUUUUGCCCUCCUCCCGCUCGCUCGACGAGGUGACGGUGAGCGGUAGGCCAGGUGGGGGGUGGGAGGCGAGGACGAUGAUGACAGAGGAUGUGGCGAGCAACCCGGGCGUGAGAGUGGGAGAGCGAAUGUGUGUGAGAGAGGUUCAUUUCUUCGAAAAAAAAAAACAC
rnacentral:misc_RNA from 1 species